rnacentral:lncRNA from 1 species
CGACCUUGAAACCGAAGUGUGGUAUCUUGUAUUUCUCUCCUUCCAAAAGAGAUAAACAGAAGCUUGAAAUCGGAGCUUACAUAUUGUCUUGACACGGUGAUUUGCGGAGGAAGUUUUGACCCAUGACAUAACAUCAUCAAACGUGGGAGGAGGUGCAAGAGUAUAUAACAUGCCACUUGAAUCUGUCUAAUCAUUGUAUUAGCUUAUAUCACAUGUGAUUGUCGUUAAACAAGAGUAUAUAUUAUUUCAAUAAUUGUGAAAUCGCGCCGUUGGAAAUUCGAAAUACACAUGCAAAAAAAAAACAAAUUAUAGCCAGCUUUGCUCCAACACAUAUCUAUCCGCUUUCUGAACUAUAAUAUUCUCCUUUGUUUCGG